rnacentral:rRNA from 1 species
UGGGGAAUUUUGGACAAUGGGCGCAAGCCUGAUCCAGCCAUGCCGCGUGCGGGAAGAGGGCCUUCGGGUUGUAAACCGCUUUUGUCAGGGAAGAAAUCUUCUGAGUUAAUACCUCGGGAGGAUGACGGUACCUGAAGAAUAAGCACCGGCUAACUACGUGCCAGCAGCCGCGGUAAUACGUAGGGUGCAAGCGUUAAUCGGAAUUACUGGGCGUAAAGCGUGCGCAGGCGGUUUUGUAAGACAGAGGUGAAAUCCCCGGGCUCAACCUGGGAACUGCCUUUGUGACUGCAAGGCUUGAGUGCGGCAGAGGGGGGAUGGAAUUCCGCGUGUAGCAGUGAAAUGCGUAGAUAUGCGGAGGAACACCGAUGGCGAAGGCAAUCCCCUGGGCCUGCACUGACGCUCAUGCACGAAAGCGUGGGGAGC